CCAGUCCCUUCGCCAGCGUUCUAGCGACGCUUUGGCGGCGGGAACCAUUCCCUCCGGGACCCAAAGGUGACGGUUAAGACAAUGGGCGCUCUUGCGCCCUGGGGACUUCGCCUGGGACGGAGAUCGCCUCUAGGCUGCAGCCUCCUGGUGGCGCCCAGCGAUGCCCCCUACUGGGCAGCCUGAGCCUGGAACAAGGCGCAGGGACUGCGGGUGCUCUUGGGGGCGCGGGGUUGCCCGGAUCUGCGCCCAGCGCAGGACCGCCGCCCUGGAAGAGGUCUUCGGACCCUGGAAGCCCGCGCCUGCCUCAGGGACAGCCUCUUGGGCGAAGCACAAAGCCCACCCCUGCCCCGCGCCUGCCCACGCCCAUUUAACGAGGUCAUUUAUAACAAACUCCCAUCUCCAAGUUUCUGUGUGCUUCAUUCCAUGGACACCUUCGCCCAGUUGGGGGAGGGAGACGCGGCGGAACCCUAGACGUCUUAGGACUUCUCUCCGAACCCGAACCCGGAGGUGUUUCCUUAAGUGCGCCUUUCUCUACACUUAAACCCCAGC
rnacentral:lncRNA from 1 species